rfam:Oryza sativa (indica cultivar-group) chromosome 2, whole genome shotgun sequence.
AAAAAACAAACCCUAGUUGUUUUCGUGUCCAACUUUAACUGUCCGUCUUAUAUAAAAUUUUUUAUAAUUCGUAUUUUUAUUAUUGUUAGAUGAUAAAACAUAAUUAAUAUUUUAUGCGUGACUUGUCUUUUUAAUUUUUUUUCAUAAUUUUUCAAAUAAGACGAACGGUUAAAAGUUGAGCACGGAAACCAGAGUUUGUCUUUUUU